CAUGCAGGUUCCAUCCUUGGCCUCCCUCCCUGGAUUAAGGAUCUGACAUUGCUAUGAGUUUUGUUUAGGUCAAAACAGCUCGAAUCCUGUGUUACUGAGGUGUAGGCCAGCAGUUACAGCUCCAGUUUGACCCCUAGCCUGGGAACUUCCGUAUGCUGCAGGUACAGCCCUAAAAAGAAUAAAAAAGAAAAAAAAAGAUUAAGAAUCAUAGUGUAGAGAAGAAUAGUCCCCUUAUCAACACAUUAGAGAGGUGUAUUACUUAAUUCUACAAAGAAAAAAAUGUGCAAGUACUUACACAUCAAAAGAGAUUCUUGUCCCAGCCCAUGCUCCUCAGUUCCUAACUUCACUUACCAUUAUUUCUUCUCAUGGACUAUAACACCUCCCUGGGUUUGUUUACUGCUUCUCUACAGUUGAAUGACAGUGUUCUCCAUCAAGGAUAACAGAUUUUAAUCACAGAUUUCAAGCCCAUUAUGAACAUUAAUUAAAUGUCUGACAUCUCUUAACGAGGUAGGUAAAAACUAUUAUUAUUUCAUAGAUGAGAAAAUCAGGUCUAGGCAAGUUUGCUAACUUGUUCUCAGGCCACCCAAGAAAUUAUGGCUCAUUUCCCAAAUCAAUGCAUAUUCUCCUGAUUCACCAUAUACCAAUCUGUUGCAAAAGCAACCUAUUUUGUAAAAUAUUUUAUUGAUAAUAGAUAUGGAAAUAAUCUUCCUUAAGUAGAAACUUUAGAUGAUACCAAUGUUCAUACAACUCAAUACUGAUAAUUUCCUGGAUUGUUUUAUGAAAAAUAAUAGAUAUCCUGAUUGGAGAGGAAAAGCCCCAAGCCAAAAAUAAACCAUUAAAACCACUAUUCAUUUUGAAAUAAAGUGAUUAGUUUCUUCUGUUUAGAAACUUCACCCAAUAUGAGAGUCAGAGAAGAACAAAAUGAGCAUUAGUCAUCAAAAUGCAUUGACUUCACUUUUGCUCUCAAGACAACACACAUUCAGCAAGGACUUUGGUCUUUUUUGAGGUCAAUUUGUUUCUUUGGGAUUCAUGUUGCUUUAAUCAAUGGUAUUUAUGUGUCUGAUCUUAAUCUAACUUUUUUUGUUUGACUAGUCCAUCUGGCUUGACAGGAUAGUGAGAAAAUUUUGAAAAUUCUUUGUGAAUUGUCCUUUUAAGUGAUAUUUACUUUUAUCUGUUGCUUGCUAAAUUGCUACUGGCCUGACAAGGAAAAGAAACAGAAAGAAACACUUGAGCAAAAAUGAAGGGCACAAAUGAGUAAGUAAAUAAUGAGGGGGAAGGGUAAUUUUACCUCUUUCAAAUGCAUGGGAGAUCAUAGUCUUUUCCUGUAUGAAACACUCUAUUUUUCCUAUAUGACAUAGGCACUAAAGAUAAAAUGGGAAUGAUGAUUACUCUCCUGCCCUGCUGAACUUAUAGAGUUGUUAUAAUGAAUUAAAAAGAAUAAAGGAAGUGGAAAGUAUUUUGCAAGUUGUAAGCAUUGAACAGGUGUGAGGUGUACUCUAAUUUCCCUGUACUCUAAAUGAUAAUUCCUUUUAUUUAACAGGCUUAAAAUUUCAAAAUUGCAUAGUUCUGUUAUGGCUCAGCGGGUUAAGACCCUGACAUAGUGUCUGUGAGGAUGUGGGUUUGAUCCCUGGUGUCACUCUGUGAAUUAAGGAUCCAGUGUUGCCACAGGCUGCAAUGUAGGUCGCAGAUGCCUCUUGGAACUGGUGUGGCUGUGGCUUUGGUGUAGGCCAGAGAACUUCCAUAUGCUGCAGGUGGCCUGAAGAAAAAUUUUUCAAAAUUGCCCUUGAAAUUGAGGACUAAAGGAAAGGCAACGGGUGUCAGUUACUGAAAUUCCAGCUGGACAUCUUAAAGCAUGCCCUUCACCUUUGUCCCUCACUUCUAUUUUCUUUUAUGACAUGAAAUUUUAGACCAAAAAAACCAAGAAAUUUUAGAGUAGAAUAGGGCCCAAGAAAUUCCUCAUAAAUACAUCUGAUUAUAAAAAUUACCAUGUGAGGUCAAUUCAAGUAGGAAUUUCUGGACCUAUGAAAUCAUAAUCUAUGAGGGAGACUGUAGAAUCUAUAUUUAAAUAUGCAUCUCAGCUAUUUAUUAUUAGCAAGCAUAUGUAGAAGCACCUUCAUUUUAUAAAGAAACCAAAAUAAAAUAACAGGGAGUUUGGGGUUGGUAGAUGCAAACUAUUUACCUUCAGAAUGGAUAAGCAAUGAGGUCCUACUAUAGAGCACAGGGAACUAUAUCCAGUCUCUUGGGAUAGAACAUGGUGGAAGAUAGUAUGAGAAAAAGAAUGUAUGUAUAUGUAUGACUGGAUCACUAUGCUGUACAGCAGAAAUUAACACAACACUGGAAAUCAACUGUACUGUAAUAAAAAUAAAAUAAAAAAACAAAGUUAUUUGUUCUAAGAAGUCUUUCCUUAAAAAAUAGCAUUCACUAUCUUUGGUAGAUAUUAAUUGCUGGGAUAUAUUCUAGAAUAAGAAACAAUUAUGUAAGCAAGUAUAGUGAAUACUGGGGACUAAACAAAGCUGAAUGCAACUAAUUCUUCCUUGGGAGAGAGAUGAGCAGGAAAACCUCUAGAGACUUUUGUAAUACUGUGCCUGUGGAUAGAGAGCAGAGGACAGAUAUUCCAAGAAGAAAGGAAAAUAUGCAGAGAUACACAGAUGUGCAUAGCAUUUUCAGGAAUUAGGAGUGGCCCAGGGGCCUGGAUUGUGGUAUGCAGCAGUGUAAUGGUGAAAGAUGAAAGAAGAAAGGCAGACUUUGAGAUUUUGAAAGCCUGAGAUACAUUGCUAAAAGGUUUGCUCUUAUAUGACACCAAAAGCACGGGUAACAAGAAGAAAAAUAGAUAAAUGAGACUACAACAAACUAAAAAGUUUCUGUGCAGCAAAGGAAACCAUCAAUAGAAAUGGAAAGACAACCUACAGAAUGGGAGAAAAUAUUUGCAAAUUGUUUAUCCAAUAAGGGGUUGAUAUCUAAAAUAUAUAAGAAAUGCAUAAACUGUAGGAAAGAAAAAAUUAAAAGAUAGGCCAGAAACUUGAAUAGACAAUUUUUUAAAGAAGACAUGUAAGUGGCUAACAGGAAUAAGAAAAAUGUCACUAAUCAUAAGGGAGAUGCAAAUCAAAACCACUAUGUGAUAUCACCUUACACCUAUUAACAUGACCAUUAUAAAAACAAAAUCAACCAAACCAGAAAGUAACAAGUGUUGGUGAGGAUGUGGAGGAAUUGAAACACUUGUGCACUGUUGAUAGGAAUUAAAAUGGUGUAGCCACUAUGAAAACAGUAUGGAGGUCCUCAAAAAAUUAGAAACAGAACUAUCAUAUGAUCCAACAAUCUCACUUCUGGAUAUUUAUCCAAAAGAAUGAAAAGCAGAGUCUCAAAAAGAUAUUUGCAUUACUAUGUUCACUGCAGCUUUAUUCACAACAGUGAAGAAGUGAAAAGAGUCUAAAUCACUGAUAGAAGAAUGGAUAAAGGAAAGGUAGUAUAUGCAUACAAUGGAAUAUUAUUCAGCCUUAAUAAAGAAGGGAGUGCUGUCAUAUGCUACCAUAUGGAUGAAAUUUCAGGACAUUAUAUUAAGUGAAAUUAGCCAGUUACAGAAGGAUAAAUACUGCAUGAUUCUACUUACAUGAGGUAUCUAAAAUAAUCAACUCAUGGGAGUUGGGUGGUCUGGUGGUCUGGUUGUUAGGCCUUGGUGCUUUC
rnacentral:lncRNA from 1 species